rnacentral:rRNA from 1 species
UUACGCUGUUAUCCCUAAGGUAAUUUAUUUUAAUAUUCUAAAUUUUAGGAUUAUAAUUUCAUUAAUUUAUGUAAAUUUUAUUUAAAAGUUUUAUUAAUUAUAAAAUUACCCCAACUAAAUAUUAAUUUAUAAUUUAUAUUAUAAUUAUUAUAAUUUUAAUUAUAUUUAAUAUAAAAUUCUAUAGGGUCUUCUCGUCUUUUAAUAAUAUUUAAGAAUUUUAACUUAAAAUUUAAUUUAAAUUUUUAUUUUAUUUAUAUAGUUUAUAUUUCAUUAAAUCUUUCAUUCUAGUUUUCAAUUAAAAAACUAAUGAUUAUGCUACCUUUGUACAGUUAUUGAUACUGCAGCCAUUAAAAAUUUUUCAUUGGGCAGAUUUGACUUAAAAUUAUUUUCAAUAAGACAUGUUUUUGUUAAACAGGCG